rnacentral:rRNA from 1 species
UACGAAGGGGGCUAGCGUUGCUCGGAAUCACUGGGCGUAAAGCGCACGUAGGCGGAUUGCUAAGUCAGGGGUGAAAUCCUGGAGCUCAACUCCAGAACUGCCUUUGAUACUGGCGAUCUUGAGUCCGGGAGAGGUGAGUGGAACUCCGAGUGUAGAGGUGAAAUGCGUAGAUAUCCGGAGGAACACCGAUAGCGAAGGCAGCUCGCUGGGACGGUACUGACGCUGAGGCGCGAAAGCGUGGGGAGCGAACAGG